CUACGAUACACACCUCUUCUGUUUUGCUGUUUUUAUUAUUGUGACUCUGGCAACCAAAAUUUUACUUGAUGGUACUAUAAAUGUGACUAUUUUGGAUAUUUCAUGGGUACAAGCUGGGAAAGGGGAGAAAUGAAUCAUGCUACAGGCCGAGUGUCCAUCACUGAUUCCCAGAGACGCCCUUUGUGAGGUAGGCACUUCACGUGGACUCUCUACAAGGGCAUAUGCAUGGGUCCAAGAUACGUAUCCCUUAGCUAUGGCCCGUAUUCCAGCUUGUAGGCCUUUGCUAAGGACAUCCCCCUCACCAGUGACCAACUCUGGUCCCAGCUCCUGGUUACAUCCUUCAGUGUCCACAAACCCACAGAGGCUCCUCAUUCUCCAUGGUGGGAGCACAGCUUUUCCUGCUGAUUCCUCGUCUUUGCCCUGGCAUUUCUCCCAAUUUUGUUCUGUCUCUACUCAAAUAGGCAUGAAGCAGGGGCAGAUGAGAAAGUAUGAUGUUCAACCAUCCUGCAACCAAAGAACCAAGUGCUACAUGGUAAUCAUUGCACGUGCCUCCAGUCUCUACCGGGGAUGCCUCAGAGUCACCCUUUCAUGCCGUGAAAUGAGGAGCGACCCUUCUGCUCCCGUUGUGGAGAAGAAGGGAAUAAACACACCCACAUACACGACAUUGUCCUGCUGUUAUCCUGGAAU